AUUGAACGCUGGCGGCAGGCCUAACACAUGCAAGUCGAGCGGAUGAAGAGAGCUUGCUCUCUGAUUCAGCGGCGGACGGGUGAGUAAUGCCUAGGAAUCUGCCUGGUAGUGGGGGACAACGUUUCGACAGGAACGCUAAUACCGCAUACGUCCUACGGGAGAAAGCAGGGGACCUUCGGGCCUUGCGCUAUCAGAUGAGCCUAGGUCGGAUGAGCGAGUAGGUGAGGUAAAGGCUCACCUAGGCGACGAUCCGUAACUGGUCUGAGAGGAUGAUCAGUCACACUGGAACUGAGACACGGUCCAGACUCCUACGGGAGGCAGCAGUGGGGAAUAUUGGACAAUGGGCGAAAGCCUGAUCCAGCCAUGCCGCGUGUGUGAAGAAGGUCUUCGGAUUGUAAAGCACUUUAAGUUGGGAGGAAGGGCAGUAAGUUAAUACCUUGCUGUUUUGACGUUACCAACAGAAUAAGCACCGGCUAACUUCGUGCCAGCAGCCGCCGUAAUAC
rnacentral:rRNA from 1 species